GGAUAUGAGGGCGAUCUGGCGGUGACGUCUGUCGCCCCCUUGAUAGCCAGGGUUGAUGCGGCUGAUCCGGCUGGUUAGGCAGGUGUCUCCUUCCUUUCUCACUGUUCCUCCCUCCUGAAGCUGCAUGCUUGGUCAAAGAGGACAAUCACCCCAGAUAGAAGACAAUCAGUCUUCAGUCAAGGGUAUACAAGUAGCUGUGCUCCCCUGCUAGAACCUCCAAACACGCUGUCAAGAACAACUUCAUUCAUACCAGCUGAUGUAUGUCUGAUCAGCUUCUGAAUGUAAUUUCAAAGAGGUAGACAUAGGUUCCCAGAUUU
ensembl:misc_RNA 7SK 7SK RNA